UACUCCAGUUAAAAUUUAGUCGUGUUCAGUGGUUAGUCCAGCUGUAGAAUCUUGUAACAUCUGUUUUGCUGGAGCUCAUCGUUACCAAGGGAAACCAGGCAUGACUGUCCAAGCAGCCUGACCUGUGUGUACAAUUAUACAGAUAAGCCUGUUGUCAUCUGCUGGUGAAUCCAACUGGUUUCCAAAACUGCACAUGAAUUUAGCCACAGGUGGACACCAUCUACAAGGAGCAAGGUAGAGUCUCAAUGUAUUUCUUCCACACUCUCUUUCCUUUUAAAAGAUAUGAUUGUAUUUUAGCAAAAGGUGGAAGGUCAUUCUUUAUAUCCAGGGAAUAUCAUCACAUCUGACAUUGUGUUUCUGAGGCAUGGGGAGUCACUGCCUGUCUAGUUCCCAUCUGCCUGUGUUUCUGUCUGCAGGUUUUCUUGGGGAAAUGGCCAUGGUCAGAAAAUAAGGGAGCAUAUGACUUUUUCUAAAGCAAAUUGAAUCCUUAGGAAUUGCAGUGGACUUUCACAGAGACUGAUAGAGGCCUAUUGAGAAACUCAGGAAGUAAUUUAUUUUAAAAAAAUUAUUAAUGAAAUGUGAAACAGGUGUGCAUCUAUGUGAAGCAGGAGUUAAAAUGCAGACUUUGGGAAUUUGCAUGUUAUUUAGAACAGUGUUGGAGAUGUUGUUUUUGUUUUUUCCUUUCUUUUUUUUUUACUUAAUAACUCAAUUUUUUUUUUCUUCCAUCAUCAUUGAUUAUUUAUAUUCAACUGGAAUAGACAGGUUUCAGCUGAAUGGGAGCAUUGCCAUGUGAUACUUACAUGAUAUGGUUACCUCAGUUCUAAGCAGGAGGGAAGGUGGAAAGGGUAAGAUAAAAGCGUCUCCUCUUCUUUUGAGGGUACCAUUAAACUCUGCAUGUUGGCUUUUUUAAUACAAAGAGAAUAACCUUUUGCCCAUCCAGUUUAUUUUGCUAAAUGCCCAAGUUAAGAUAAUUAAUCGGGAUUGCGAGUUUAGCCUGUCAGAAAGGAGCUUUUGAUUCCAACUCAUCUCUCCACAGAACUUUUCAUUGUAUCCCUUGCUUGAAGUUGGAUCUCACUACCUAGAUAUGGCAUAAGAAGAAAUUAGACUUUUUGGUUUUAUUUGUUCUAACUGGUAUAUUUUAUUUCAUUUCCAUGGUCAGAUAGAAAGUGUUCAAGCAAUGCCGUAUUUUACUGAUUGCUGUUUUCUUUAUGGAAGUAUCUUAAGAGUCUGCAGUCCAGGGGUCUGACAGCCUUAUUUUAUGGCUUAAUUGUUAGGACUAGGAAGAGACUUAGCUGAAAUACUCUUUGCUACUGUCAUUAAUAACUUACGAGGAGUGAAGCAGAGUCUGGUGAAAGGUUUAGGCAGGACAUGUUACUACAAUUAGUGGCAUACUAGAUUUUGAGCAAACAACAACAGGAGUGGGGCAGAAGGCAAAGCCAGCAUUGGAAACACUCUGGAGCAAUGAGAUACCAGCACAGAAUGAGUCUGCAGCUCCACAAGGGUCCAGUCUGCUCUCAUCAUUCCAGCCUCAGCACUGAGAUGAGGAUGGUGACAUCUUCCAGCUUUGCCUUAGUUGUUACCCGAUGGAUUCCAUCAUUGCUGCUUUACACUAAAUCCAUGGAAAUAGUUUGUACUGAGAUUUAAAAGUAAAAAUGAUAAAAGAAAUGAACUGAAGGCAGAAUCCACCCCUGCCACCAUUGUGUGUAGGUGAUAAAGGGCUACAUCUUUUGUCUUGCAUCUCACAUCUUUGGUGUGUGAAGGCAGGCUCAAGUGUUCUGUUGAGGUAUGUAUCUUUCUCUGCUAUGCUCAAGUUUGUGCAAAGGUAACAGGCAUGUCAGUGCUUUUCUCUUCUCAGGAGAUAGAUACACUACAAUAGAAGAGGAUAAACCUAUUCUCUUCUCCUAUUCAUGGAGAACAUUAAUGAAAGGAGAAAAAAAGUGUAUGCAAGCAGUUUUGUGACUUUCUAAUUUUUUCCUGCCCACUCACCUGCAAAUUACCCUGUUUUUCUCUCUUACCCAACGAAUUGCUGCUUCAUGAAUAGGCAUUUCAGAAGUUGCUGUCAUGAAGUCUGAGUCCUUUAUGUUUUAUUUUACCAUUUUAUCUGACACCUUGAUUUUACUCUUCCCUACUUUUAGAAAACAAGCAAGCUGAGAAAAAUCACAGUUUUCUGGCCCCGAAAGUCAGUUUAUAUGUUGUUUGGAUAAAGCAUGUUUGUUCUGUGAAGAAAAAAGGUGUUCUUUUUUGCUGCUCUUUCGUAGGGAAGUUGUUAGAGGCCACUGAGAAGCUCCGUGGUACCAAAAAAAAUUUGAUGUUAGUUUAUUGGUUUAAUAAGCACUAUUUAAGCACUGCUCAAGUGUAACAACUAUGGUUUUAUAGUCUGUUUUUUUCCAGACUUGAAUCUUCUGAUUUUGGGGGUUACCCAUAAAAAAUGGCUAAAUAGAUCAAUGUUUUUCAGAGCAUGUUUUUAUUGCCACUACAGCUGCAUGAAAAAAACUCAGUGUUGUGUUUGUCAGAAGAUAUGAAUUCUGUAGCAUUCUCUAACAGUCACAUUCAUCAAAAUCCUUUGUCUACAGUACCAUCAGUUCUGUGUCUAAUUCUUCCCAUUGGAAGUACAUUUAGUAGCAGGUUUUCAUGUUCACUUAAAGCUUUUGAAAGUGAAAUUCAUUUCCUGCAGGGCAUUCACAACAAUAAUGUAACUCCAGGUCAAUUAAAUGGAAGUUGAUGAUGCUACUCCAGAUUUACAUACCCAAAAUGGGGAAUACAAUCUGAUUCCAUAUAUGUAUGAAAUCCCAGCUAAUGUAAAACUGGCGUGGAAGAGAAUAAGUUUUGAUGUGACCUUUUAUAAAUUUUCUCAGAAGUUUUUUUUAAAAGGAGGAAGUGCACAUUGGUCAAGUAUCAGAAAGUGGUGCUCUUGAUUCCAGAUUGCAUGUGUGUUGCUCACAGAUCCAGCUGUCUAUCCUCAUUUACUUUUAUGUUUGGAGUCUUCGGUCACUCAUAUCGAAAAUGAAGCACUUGUACGUGAAGGAGAUGCAGGACUUUCUCCAACUUGAUUUUAGUGGCUGGACAUCUGUUCAGAAAGCUAUCAAGUGCCUCUGCAAUCAGUGAGAUGCUGAGGUUGAAAAGCUGAUCCUCAAAACUAAUCUGUGAUGAAUGGCUUCAUAAUUGGCUCCUUUCUACACAUUACACUCCUUCAAAACUAUAUUGUUAUUCAAGAAGUUGAUAAUCAUGAAUGUUACUCCUAAUUUUUUUCUUUCUGGUAUUGAAUUAUUUUCUAUAUGCCAAGACAAGUCCUGAGGAAAGAGAGAAAAGAAGUCAAAGGUUUUUCUUCUUUAAUGACAUUUAUAACAAUAUAUUGAUGAGAUUUUAAAAUAAAUACAUUUUUUAUUAGUUGUCUUACAGAUAUCUCAGUUUCUAAUCUUUUUUUUUUUUUUUGAAUGAAUGCCAGUAGUCAAAUGUCUUGCUGAAUAGUUGAUACACCUUCAAGCUGUGCUUUUGUGUGCUCUCCAUAGCAAUUGCUGGGAAUAAUUAAUUACAUUAGAACCCUGAAUGCUUUUUUUGGAUACUUACUUAUUCAUACAGCUGGAUUUGCUGGGUGAUGUGAGAAAAGUGAAUAGGUCAAUUUUUUAAUAGAGGAAAGAGGGGAAAGAGAAGUAGAAUUCAACUUUAAAACUAUUUAAUUAUUUUGUUCUCUUUCGUCUUUCCUUUUGUUGCUUGCCUUUUAACUUCCUUUUGCUGCUUCAGCUUUUUCUGGUAAUUUUCAUCUGUUCUCCUCCAUUUGCUUCCAAAGGCUCAUGGGAAGACCUUUCUUAAAUUUUGGUUUUUAGGAACAAAAGGAUAGAUACAGAUAACAGUAUUACUUACCAGAAAAAAGGACUGUGAGGAAUUAACUUUAAUUACUGAGUCUAGUCCUCUGUAAAGGGUAACCUAGAUAAUAGACUUUUACUCCAAGAGGACAUGCAAGAGUUCAAUUCACAAUGUCCACGAAGUUCUGAUUAAUAUCUUUCAGCCUUAUAGAAAACAACAGUGGUGCAGCUGUAAUAUGCCACAGAAAACAGUGAGGAACUGGAAUCAUGGUUGAUGUCCUAGAUCCCUACAACAACAAGGGAUUUGCUAGAUGGAUUUCCCAGAUGGUCUCUAGCAGUAUCUUAUUCCCUGCAGAAUGGGGAGUGAAAAAGAACAACUGCCAAUAAUCCCUAUCAGUCUGCUUGAGGUUUUGUCUGCCAUAUGUUUCAUCAAAACGUCCUGCUUUGUAUUUCAUCUCUAACAGUCACUGAUUUUGAAUACUU